AGAACGAACGCUGGCGGCGUGCCUAACACAUGCAAGUCCAACGUGAAAGGGGAGCAAUCCCCCGGUAGGGUGGCAAACGGGUGAGUAACACGUGAGCAACCUACCCCGAAGAUUGGGAUAACACCGGGAAACCGAUGCUAAUACCGAAUACCCCCACCGGGUCACAUGGCCUGAUGAGGAAAUGGGUUUCUGCUUCGGGAGGGGCUCGCGGCCUAUCAGCUAGUUGGUGAGGUAAAGGCCCACAAGGCGACGACGGGUAGCUGGUCUGAGAGGACGAUCAGCCACACUGGGACUGAGACACGGCCCAGACUCCUACGGGAGGCAGC
rnacentral:rRNA from 1 species